rnacentral:misc_RNA from 1 species
CGACGACGAGACCAGCAGACCACCAUUCAUUCGUUCUCACCUGCGGCCGUCGACGGUGUGCUCGGUGGGCGAGUGCCAGUGCAUCUGCUUCAGGUAGUACGCCGUGCCGUUGAUCACCAGGAAGCCGGCGUCGCCCUUGAACCUCACCUGCAACCAAACAGUCAGCUGGCACUAGCCACGCCACGCACCAAUGCUUCCCACCAUGAUGCACCACCAGCUAGCGAACCCCCCUCCCCCCCUUGCCGUCGCGUCACGUACCAUGAUGUCGUGGCCGCGGUUGGCGAUGGCGGCCUCGGCGGGGCGGUAGGAGUGGGUGAGGUAGCCGAGGGACCGCACCAGCGAGACGCGCUCGUGGGAGAGGUCGAUGGGGGACUGCAUCCGCCCGGCGCUGCAGUUGCCCCACUCCGCCUUGAUGCUGCCCCAGUGCUCCGGCCCGUUCUCGUCGCCGACGACGUAGCUGAACUCCUCCUCGUGCUCGGUUUCUUCCUGGGCUCUGGCGGCCGGGACGGCAACGGAGAGCAGGAAGGCCGCCGCGAGGAGCCGCGCGGCGGUGAGGCCGCGGAGGUGACCCAUACCCUUCUGUAGCCUCUCCGCUUGCGGGCUCUGCUUUGCCUUUUUGGAAGCUGAACUGGUUUGGGAUGAAGUGCCCCCCCGCACCGAGUCCGAGUAUAUAAAAGGCCGUCGUCUCGUCAGUGUGUUAAUGCCAAAACACACUCAUAUUGUUUUUAAAAAAGAAACUUUUAUUCUUAUAAAACUCCAUACUUUUACG